rnacentral:rRNA from 1 species
GACGUAGGGCGCGAGCGUUGUCCGGAUUUAUUGGGCGUAAAGAGCUCGUAGGCGGCUUGUUGCGUCGGCUGUGAAAACCCAUGGCUCAACCGUGGGCUUGCAGCCGAUACGGGCAGGCUAGAGUUCGGUAGGGGGAGACUGGAAUUCCUGGUGUAGCGGUGAAAAUGCGCAGAUAUCAGGAGGAACACCGGUGGCGAAGGCGGGGUCUCUGGGGCCGAUACUGACGCUGAGGAGCGAAAAGCGUGGGGGAGCGAACAGG